GAUAGGGAUGGAGAAGGCACAGGUGGUUGUAGAGGAGUCCCAACAGGGGAUCAUGGAUAAAGAGGGAAACCUGGGGGAUGCCGGGAGACCUCUGUAAGUUCAAGAAAACCAUCAGCACAAGGCAGGCUUGCUUAACUGGUGCAGGUGCGACAAUUGCCUCAGGUCCUUGGGUGGGGGCUGGGAUGAGACCUGCAUUCAGAUUCAGACCAAGGGCAGGAGUUUGAAGACCGCCCUUCAGCUGAUUGGAAUACACACCAUACUACGAAGGAGGAGCUACUACUCCCUGAAAGGAAGAGGCGGGCCUUUCCAGUCCCCACCCCCCUUGGAUGAUAAAAGUGUGGCCCACCCGGAUCCGCGGGCAGAGAGAUUUCUUGCCUGUCCCCUUCCGUCUCUGAUCAUGUCCCAUCACUUUGUCUCUCUCUGAAUUCCUCCUUCUUCUUCUUGGAGACAUGAAGAACCUGAACCUCAGUGAGUCCAGACACAGGGGCGCUUCCUAAAAUCAACUACCUGCAUGUUAGCCGACCAGGCUCUGCUUUGGAGGAAAACCAAGAUCACACAUGCCUCAAGCAGUAGCGGCUAAAUCCUGCAGGGCGAGGGAGGAGAAGGCUGGAGACUUCAGAGAGGGUUCCCAGUGACCCAGAACGUCAGAGGCGCUCCCGAAAGUCAGCAGCCCCUGGCCGGGGCUCACGCAGCUGUGCAGGAGUGUCCUGAGAACAAAUUCUGUCUUGUCCAAAACAUAAUGUAAGGUCCUCCGUGAGAUGUUGGAAAUGAGAGAAGGGAAACUGAAAGCAAUGAUGCUUGUUUAGCCUGGAGAAGAUAAAGCAAAAAGUUCAUCACUGACUUCCCGAAAAUAAAGGGCUAGUUCUCAGA